UCUUUCUCUUCUAGGAUUCAGUGCGAUGGUGGGCCAGGGGCUGGGUGGGUCAGACAGUACAGUAGAAACUGAAGAUCCACCAGGAGAACCAGGCCAAAUUACAUGCCAUGUCUAAGGGCGAGAUCCUAGAGGAGCAGAAAAGGCUGCUGGGUCAGCUAGAUCCCAGACUUGUUGACUUUGUAAGGGACUCGUAAAGUACUGGGAGCCCCAACCUCUACCUCACAGCCUUCCAACUUCCUGGAUGAAAGAGGCAGGGAACAGCGUCUGCUAGAAACCAUCAUGACAGAGACAGACGCCAAGAAGCCAGAGCAGAAUCCUCUGGACAUAAAGAUUGGAGAAAGUGGAAGAUGAGGAAGAUGAAAGCGGAGGACCUGCCUGUCAAGCCUCAGAAGGAGUAGGUGCACAUGGACAAGCUGGAGCCAGAGAAGUUGGAGUGGAUCAGGGACCUGCCUGUACCCAGACGGAAAGGAACCAAGAUGGUACUAACUACUGUUUACUAGGAACACUUUGUUCGAGAUGCGGAGAGGUUGUGUGUUUGUCUCAUCUAUUGACUAGUCUAUCACUGUGUCUCUGUGCUGACAGGCCAUGCAGGCUCACUUUGACUUUGCUGGAACCCUGA
rnacentral:lncRNA from 8 species